rnacentral:sRNA from 1 species
CUCAUUUUUCUACUGCUCGUGGUAAGUGGCUUCGUGGUCUUUAUAGCUGUUACUCUUUUGUACUUUGUCUUUUUCUUUUAUUUUCUUUUGAGCGAUUGUGCGAACAUAGCAUAGCACGCACUAUGCCUUCUGUGUUGUAGCUGCCUGGCCAGGGCGACUGGCGGAUAAGGUCUUGUGCGUGGCCUCGAGGCUUAAAAGUAGCAGUGGGGCUUUGUGAAGGACAAAAUGGCGAUGGCGGGCCGUGUAGGUCCCCCUUCCUAUGAUGAGGACCUUUUCACAGACCUGUACUGAGCUCCGUGAGGAUAAAUAACUCUGAGGAGAUGGGCCCUGCAAGCCUCUUGCUUAGCCGUCUGUUCAGAAAAUAGCGUUUUCGAAAUGCCCUGAGUUGACCUAAUGUCUUAUUGGGCUCCUGUCUGCAGGAUUUACGCGCACGUUGGAACCGAAGAGAGCUCUGUUGUUGCAGUAAGUUCUUACGGCCAUUUCUUAAUCUCUGCUCUUUCGUUGAGUGUGUGGAAGUUGCUACGGGGAUGAUUUUACGAACUGAACUCUCUCUUUCUGAUGGAUUAGUGGAGAAAACAGAAAAUUCUGAGUAGCACUGUACUGUACGCAACAAAUGUCAGGGCCCUAUUGAUUUGUCUGAGGUGUUAGUGAAGGGUGUUAUUUUUUCAGAUGUUCAGCCCACAAGAGCUUACUGGUGAAGGAAUGGGACAAGACCCAUCUUUAUGCAAAGCCAGCGUUACAGUAAUGUUCCAGCAUCUCAUAAUCUAUCCUGGGGAAUUCAGCUGCCUCCCAGGGUGAAUACAGGUAUUCCUGAUGACAGUCUGCCUCUAUCUUACAGUAAGUUGUUUUUCGAAUUCUAUGGGCCUAUUAUCUAAUAGAUAACUUAGCCAUUUUGAUAUUUGUUACCAAAGCCUGCUUAACCCAUAAAGUUUUCUGGUUCCUCUUGUUCUCUGUAGUGAUGUUUCUAGAUAGAUGCCCACUGAUAUAUGCCCCUUUUUUCUCAGAUAGAUGCCCACUGAUCUGCCCAGGGUCAGACGAAUGCUUGUCAGUUGUAGCUUUCCAGGAUUCUGCUCCAAUGAGGAGGAAACAUCCUGCCUUACCCCUGUUUUAGCCUGGGAACCAGUAAUUGUGAACUCACCAGGGUUAACAUGAAGAGGGCAUGAGAGCUUAUUCCAUAAGGAAUUGUCUGAGACAUUUGGUUACCUUUUCUUAGUUUGUCCAUUAGCAACCGUAACUAAAAUAGUUUUGGCUGUUUGGGAUAAUUAGCUAAUUGAAUGAUUUUUUGAUUCAGGAGCAGCUUGUUGCUAUAUACCAUUGAAAAGCCUUCAGAGCUGAGAGGUUAGUUGAUAUUUUUUGUUCCUUACAGCUUAUGCCACCAAGUAGGCAGUUUCUAUGAUGAAUCAAACUAGCUCACUAUGACCGACAGUGAAAAUACAUGAACACCUGAGAAACUGGAGAACGCAGGGAGUGGGGGGUAACCAUGUCUGAGGAAUCUUUCACCCACAGCUUUGUUUUUCUUUAGGUACUACUAACCAAUAACCUGCUUGGCUCAAAGGGCCAGCACCUUCUCUCUAAAGCCCAAGAGGAGUUUGAGGAAAACUAGGUGUCUGUGUUCACUCCAGGCUGAAGUUACAGGUCUGAGCAAAUAAGGUGUAUAAAAAAUGGAAUCUGUCUUGGAGGACAUCAGAAGGUGAAUUUUCCAAGUUCUUGGACAACCUAGCUGUUGAAAAGCUUUCUGGGUUUGGGGGGUAUUUCAGAUGUACCUUAAAGUGUUAGCAGACACAGAUUAAGACACUGGGAGCCAAUGAAACAGCAGUUGAGGGUUUGCUGUGUAUCACAUUUCUGUAUUUUAUCACCCCCUUCCUGCAACAUUAUUUAUCUGGAAUCUACCUGCCCUUUUGUUUUUUAGAUACAAGGGCUUGGUUUUGUUACCCAGGCUGGUUUCAAGGCCAUAGCUUUAAGAGAUCCUCUCACCACAGAUUUCCAAAGUGCUGGGAUUGCAGGUGUGAUUCAUGGCACCCAGACUUUGCUGCCUUUCUUACAUGAUCCAGGCCCAGAACCCAAACUCAGGCACUGUAUAGAUGACCACUUUCGUAAACUACUGACCUAGCUUGUUGCCAAUUGUUGAUUGAACUUCCCAUAACUCCACUUCGUGUCUGUUCCUCUGUAUACAGCCACCUUCUGUUCCCGUCAUGAGCCUUUAGGUCUCCAUUUGCAUAUUGCAAAUACUAUGUUCCAUGUAGGUAGCUCAUUCAGGGCCUUGCUCUUCACUUCAAAAAAGGUUCCCUUGAGGACUGGCUGUCAAUUUGUGUUGCUGUGUUGGUUGUUGAUGAAAAUAAUAAAAU